CCUUCGGGUGGCAGCAGUGAGGAAUAUUGGUCAAUGGGCUUACGCCUGAACCAGCCAAGUCGCGUGAGGGAAGACUGCCCUAUGGGUUGUAAACCUCUUUUGUCAGGGAGCAAUUGGCGCUACGUGUAGCGUUAUCGAGAGUACCUGAAGAUAAAGCCUCGGCUAACUCCGUGCCAGCAGCCGCGGUAAUACGGAGUAUGCGAGCGUUAUCCGGAUUUAUGGGGUUUAAAGGGUGCGUAGGCGGAAUGCCAAGUCAGCGGUAAAAUCGUGGGGCUCAACCUCACACCGCCGUUGAAACUGGCGUUCUUGAGUGGAGGAGAAGUAUGCGGAAUGCGUGGUGUAGCGGUGAAAUGCAUAGAUAUCACGAAGAACACCGAUUGCGAAGGCAGCAUACCGGAGCGCAACUGACGCUGAAGCACGAAAGCGUGGGUAUCGAACAGGAUUAGAUACCCGAGUAGUC
rnacentral:rRNA from 1 species